rnacentral:rRNA from 1 species
AACAGGAGAAGCUUGCUUCUCGCUGACGAGCGGCGGACGGGUGAGUAAUACUUAGGAAUCUACCUAGUAGUGGGGGAUAGCACGGGGAAACUCGUAUUAAUACCGCAUACGACCUACGGGAGAAAGGGGGCAGUUUACUGCUCUCGCUAUUAGAUGAGCCUAAGUCGGAUUAGCUAGAUGGUGGGGUAAAGGCCUACCAUGGCGACGAUCUGUAGCUGGUCUGAGAGGAUGAUCAGCCACACCGGGACUGAGACACGGCCCGGACUCCUACGGGAGGCAGCAGUGGGGAAUAUUGGACAAUGGGGGAAACCCUGAUCCAGCCAUGCCGCGUGUGUGAAGAAGGCCUUUUGGUUGUAAAGCACUUUAAGCAGUGAAGAAGACUCCAUGGUUAAUACCCAUGGACGAUGACAUUAGCUGCAGAAUAAGCACCGGCUAACUCUGUGCCAGCAGCCGCGGUAAUACAGAGGGUGCAAGCGUUAAUCGGAAUUACUGGGCGUAAAGGGAGCGUAGGUGGCUCUAUAAGUCAGAUGUGAAAUCCCCGGGCUUAACCUGGGAACUGCAUCUGAAACUGUAGAGCUAGAGUAUGUGAGAGGAAGGUAGAAUUCCAGGUGUAGCGGUGAAAUGCGUAGAGAUCUGGAGGAAUACCGAUGGCGAAGGCAGCCUUCUGGCAUAAUACUGACACUGAGGCUCGAAAGCGUGGGUAGCAAACAGGAUUAGAUACCCUGGUAGUCCACGCCGUAAACGAUGUCUACUAGUCGUUGGGUCCCUUGAGGACUUAGUGACGCAGCUAACGCAAUAAGUAGACCGCCUGGGGAGUACGGCCGCAAGGUUAAAACUCAAAUGAAUUGACGGGGGCCCGCACAAGCGGUGGAGCAUGUGGUUUAAUUCGAUGCAACGCGAAGAACCUUACCUGGUCUUGACAUAUCUAGAAUCCUGCAGAGAUGCGGGAGUGCCUUCGGGAAUUAGAAUACAGGUGCUGCAUGGCUGUCGUCAGCUCGUGUCGUGAGAUGUUGGGUUAAGUCCCGCAACGAGCGCAACCCUUGUCCUUAGUUACCAGCGGGUUAAGCCGGGAACUCUAAGGAUACUGCCAGUGACAAACUGGAGGAAGGCGGGGACRACGUCAAGUCAUC